rnacentral:lncRNA from 1 species
AAAAAAGGGAACUUGGAGCUCAUCUUGCCCCACCCCUUCAUUUUACAGAUGUGAAAAACAAGACCCAGAGAGGGGAAAUCAUUUGAAUCCUGUCCUGGUAUUGCUUUGUGUUCCUGGAUUUGGAGAAUUUCUGGGAACACAGGAAAAGGAAAGUGAAUGCCACCAGGAUCUGAACCCAAGAUUCCAGCCUCGGUCACCACCCUGACCCUGAGAAUGCCACUGGGAUGGGGAGAACUUGUCAGUCUUCAUCCUUCCCCACAAGUAUACUGAAGCCAGGACAGGCUCAGCUCCAGAAGCAGACCCAGAAUGGCAUCCUUCUCUGAGACCCAGACCCCAGCCCCUUUUCAUGGAAGACCAGCACAAAGGAGGAAGUAGGUUAGGGAAUGGUAAGGCUCCAUGUGAUGGGACUAAUGUGGAGAGGCCUGGGGCCUUUCCCUGAGGACUGGAUGGCUGGAGUUUGGGAGCCUGAGUUGACAGAGGAGGCUAAGCCCGGGCAGCUACUUUGUUCCAGAAAUCUAAGGUCCCUGGAGGGAGGCUCUGCUUUGGGAGGGGGAAGGGAGCUAACAUUGCAGAGCACCAACUGUGAACCAGGUACAAUGGCAGAGCCUUUCCAUACCUGUACUCACAACUAGCGGGUGAGGAGUCAAGGCAAAUAGGUGUCUCAUAGCUCCCCAUAUCUCGGCAGUCGACCACCUCCUCCUUUGAUUCUCUGAUGUCACUGCCAGUUCUCCUCCUAUUGCUCUGACCUGUCUUUCUCUGUGUCCUUUGCAAACUCAUUCUCAACUCCUUAGACUCAGUCAAGUCCCCCAGUUACACACUUCCAUGGUACUAUAUAUCAUUCCUUCAGAGCACUUAACACAGUUAUUUCCUAUGUAUUUGUCCAGUCAUUUGAAUAAUGAUCCUAGUUUCAUUGGAUGGAAAGUUCCACAAGGUCAGUGACCAUUUCUAUCUGUGUUCACCAAUGUGUUCCCAGUGCCCAGAAACAAUGCCUAGCAUAAAGCAGCUGUUUUGUAAAUACUUGUUCAAUGAAUGAAUAAAUG